UACGUAGGGUGCGAGCGUUAAUCGGAAUUACUGGGCGUAAAGCGUGCGCAGGCGGUCUGUUAAGACAGAUGUGAAAUCCCCGGGCUUAACCUGGGAACUGCAUUUGUGACUGGCAGGCUAGAGUAUGGCAGAGGGGGGUAGAAUUCCACGUGUAGCAGUGAAAUGCGUAGAGAUGUGGAGGAAUGACCGAUGGCGAAGGCAGCCCCCUGGGCCAAUACUGACGCUCAUGAC
rnacentral:rRNA from 1 species